UGCCCAUGUUUCUGCUUUCUUCAGUGUGUUAUAUCUAUUUAUUUAUAUGUUUUGUUUUAUCCUUUUCAUAUUGAUUGUCUGCUUCCAUUUUAGGUUUCAUCAUAGUUCAACACAUUUCUUAAAUCAACAUUAUUGAUAUUUGUAGAGAAGAUCAAUCCUAAUAAUACUGAAUACUGUGCUACAUCCCUGAAAUUAAACUGUUUCCAUUCAAGACCAUCUUCUGCAAGUGAAGCCUUUUCUUCAUACACUGAGAUGAACCAAGGAGUGAAUCAAACAAACAGGCAACUGCUCAUUUGAUGACUGAGCGCUUUACUGAGCAGAUUAACAAAAGCCAUGAUAGGAGCAGAAUCAGCUAAGAAGUGAAUCUUGUCAGUCACCUG
ensembl:lncRNA